UUUGUUGUCCUCCAAAUUAAUCAUUUGCCCCCAUUUAGCAAUUGCACCAUGCUCAAUGGCCAACUUUGCAUCUUUAUAGGAUGCAAAUGAAGAAGUUCCCUUCUUAAUCGGUUCAGUGAUAAAUAAAGCUUGGAACGGAGUUCCAACUUCAUCCUCAGCAUCUAUGUAAGAGAAGGAAGACAAAUGGCUAACCAGGAGAGCCUUUU
rnacentral:lncRNA from 1 species